rnacentral:misc_RNA from 1 species
UUAACACUCAGUUAGCUGCAUAUAGACCUGCAAUCUUUUCUUUGAGCCAAUGCAUAUCAUCCCUAGAGAAGCAUUCCUAUUUGCAUGGGAAACCCAAAAGGCCUGAUAAUGAGGACACGAAGGACAUUGUAGUAGCUCAUACAGAUGACAGCACUCGUUUGAAAGACAAUGAAAAUGCAGUGGCAACCGAUGCAUUUUUUGAUCUGCAUGGAUUGGAAAUAAGGGUUCGAGCUGUUGAGAAGACAUUGGUUGAAAUGGAGCAGCUUGUGGUGAAGGAAAAUGUGAACAUGCAUAGCAAACUUCAGGCGGCGAUGCUACAGAUUGAGGAGUUAAAGUCAGAGAGCAGCCGGCAUAGAAGAAAUUCAGCUCCUAAAUCUGAAAUCUUUGAGGCAGAAAAUGGGAUCCUCACCAAGGACAUCAUGCUUGACCGUGUAUCUGAGUCUUCAUCCUACAGAAAUGGCAGGAGAGAGCAGGCUGAGUCGAAUAAUCUAGUUUUUGACCUAUGGGAUACUACCAGUCCUACUGUUAGUAAAGCAAAGUUGGAUGAUACUCCAAAUGCUGAUAAUGAUAUCGAUUUCCAUAAACGUGUUAUAUCAGUGAAGAAAAAGUGUCAACAUUCUACCUCAGAUGUGCUAGAUGAGAAGUACCCAGGUGAGGGCAAACUGAACAUCUCAAAGAGAUCAACGGAGUCCAUUCAAGAGGGAAACAAGAGGAGGGUCUUACAGAGGCUUGAUUCUGAUGUGCAGAAAUUAACUAACCUUCAGAUCACAGUAGUAGACUUGAAGAGGGAACUUGAGGUAACUGAGAAGGGAAAAAGGGGUAAAGCUGUAGCUGAGUCAGACACUCUCAAAGGACAGCUAAAUGAAGCUGAGGCUGCUAUUCACAAGUUAUUUGAUCUUACUGGUAAGUUGAUGAAGAACAUGGAAGACAGCUUUGGUUCUGCUGAUAUGAAAUCUGCACUGGAGUCUGAAGAGGUUGGAAAUGUUAGUAGGAGGAGAUAUUCAGAACAGGCACGGGGAAUAUCCGAGAAAAUUGGGCGACUGCAAUUAGAAGUUCAGAAGUUGCAGUUUGUUUUACUGAAACUCAACGAUGAAAGCAAAGGAAAUAGCAGUAGGGUCCCAGAGACAAAAAGAAGGGUUCUACUGCGAGAUUAUCUCUAUGGCGGGGUUAGGAAAAGCAACAACAAGCGAAAGAAAGCACCAUUUUGUGCAUGCAUCCAGCCUCCAACUCAGGGAGAUUGAAGUUUUAAAUAAGGUGUGCAGUUUACAUAUGUUAGUUUAACUAGUUUAUAGUCCAUUUGUGUCCAUAUUACUUUUAUAGUUUCGGUAUGAAUACAUUCGGAACCUUAGCUUCUUGGAGAGAAUUUGUUGUAUAUCCGCGUCCAGCUAAAAGAUGCAGCCUUCUUAUUUACUAAUGUUUUCGUGUUUGCUCCAAGCUUGUCUAAAAUAAUUGGGUUGUCCCUGUACAUAUUUCUUCAACCUCUGUUACUUUUGAACAUGGAUUUUGAUAUUGGUCUCAUGUUAG